CGAUUCCGACUUCACGCAGUCGAGUUGCAGACUGCGAUCCGGACUACGACCGGUUUUCUGGGAUUGGCUCCCCCUCGCGGGUUGGCAGCCCUCUGUACCGGCCAUUGUAUGACGUGUGAAGCCCUACCCAUAAGGGCCAUGAGGACUUGACGUCAUCCCCACCUUCCUCCGGUUUGUCACCGGCAGUCUCCUUAGAGUGCUCUUGCGUAGCAACUAACGACAAGGGUUGCGCUCGUUGCGGGACUUAACCCAACAUCUCACGACACGAGCUGACGACAGCCAUGCAGCACCUGUGUAUCGGUUCUCUUUCGAGCACUCCCGCCUCUCAGCAGGAUUCCGACCAUGUCAAGGGUAGGUAAGGUUUUUCGCGUUGCAUCGAAUUAAUCCACAUCAUCCACCGCUUGUGCGGGUCCCCGUCAAUUCCUUUGAGUUUUAAUCUUGCGACCGUACUCCCCAGGCGGUCAACUUCACGCGUUAGCUACGUUACUAAGGAAAUGAAUCCCCAACAACUAGUUGACAUCGUUUAGGGCG
rnacentral:rRNA from 1 species